AUGUAGAGCUUUAAUUUAAAAACACAACUUUUAGGUUAUGCUCAUAGAUAUAAGUUUGUCGUAGACCAUAGAUAAUAGAUACACAAACGGUUAUAGACAUAGACCUUUGUAUAUCUAUUACCUAUGGACAUAGAUCAAAUCAUAGAUAAUGAUCAAACAUAGAUAGACAUGUCAUAGAUACAAGAUAGACACAAGGGAAUAUUUUUAUCUAUGGGAAUAUUCAAAAAAUGUCGUGCAUUUUAUUGGUUAUAUUUUUGUUUACAUUUUUGUCAACUUUUUAAUUUUUUCAUCGGUGCCCGCAGUACCCACUUAAAAAUAAACAGAAUGACCCGUGUAUGUUGUAUUAACAAUUGUAAAAAUGCCAGUUCCAAGGAGAUAAAGAAAUCUGAAAACACCGUUUUUAAAUUUCCUUCUAGUCCUGAUAUGCGGAAAAAAUGGUUAGAAGUUUUAGGCAACAGCAAGCGUAUAAUUAAAAACCGAAAAAAUGAAGCCAUAUCUGACCUCUAUAUUUGUGAUUUGCAUUUUAAAGAAUCUGAUUUCUUGAAGGAUGCAACGUCCAAUUUUGUUGAUGGGAAAGAAGUAACAGUUUCGCGCAAGCGAAUACGUCUCAAAGCUAGUAGUGUGCCCUCAGUUAAAAUAAAUCCUGUUACAAGUUCAUUAAAUACGUGCAACAGCAACAAAAUAAGUUUCAUAACAACAAAAGACAUUUAUAAUGAUGACAAUGCUCCCAAGAUAUUGGAAUCACUCCCAGAAACUUAUGUUGUGGAACACGACUAUGGUUUACAUGAUUAUCCAGGACCAAUAUUUUGUACAAAUGCCAUUAUCAAUAUUGAUCCUGAAAGUCUUGAAUUGCCAAAAACAUGGGGAGUUACUGAGAAAAUAGUUCAAAAUAAGAAAUAUUUGUUGUUCAUGAAAGUAAUUACUCAAGCUAUGGAUCAACAAGAAACUGAACUGCUUCAAAAAUAUAUGCUCCUUGAUUGUACAGGAAAGAAUGCGAGUUAUUUUGUUUAUGGACACCAAGUCAAAGAUAUGGCACUAUUGCCAGAGUUUAUUCACAAUACAGACACAUUACUGAGAAGUUUGAAGAUAUUCGAGGUGAUGAAUGUGUGUGAAGGAUUGGGGCGAAUUGACCCUUCUUUAAUACGAAAGUCCAAAGUGUUGAGAGAUUCUGCAAACUAUUUACGACAUGCUAGCUGCACCUGGUUGUUAACUAGAAACAAAACAUGCAUAUUUUGCAAAAAAUUAAAACGUUUAAUCUCCAGAAGGCGUUUAAGAUCUAAUAAAGUUGCUUGUGGUGGUUCAGAUAGUAAAGAAAUGCUUAACAACUUGAGGAGGCAACUGGCUCGUGAAAAGCGUCUAAGAAAAAUUGCAGUAGAACAGAAAAGAAUGUUAUUAAAGGAGGUGUCUGAGAAAAGAAAGGAAAUAGCAACUGCCGUUAAUUAUGGGGUGUCAUUUGAAAACAUCUGUUUCCAACAUAGGGUUCUUCAUAAUCACAGAUUGGCUUUAAAAGAGAUACUAGAUACUUCGAAGACUAAACCUCAGGGUCGGAGGUAUUCAGAGGAGUGGCUGAUGUUUUGCAUAUCAAUUAGCAUUAGGUCGCCCUCCAUUUACGAAUUUUUGAGAAAAACUAAUAUAAUUCCGCUACCAAAUUUGGCAACAAUUCGAAGAUAUUUUUACGGUAAAAAUCCUAAAGGCAACUUCAAUAAAUUGUUUAUUGAUUUAGUAAAAAGCUAUCAAGUUAAAAACACCCAACAAGUCCCUGAACCUUUUAUAUAUCAAAAUGCUAGUGAUAAUGACUUUCAAUCAGAUGAAUGGUGAAAUUAUCUUUUUUAUAACUUCUUGUUUUCAUUUGCUGAAAGGAAAAUAGUAAAUUAAUUAUAUAUAUAAAUAAAACACUUAAAAUUUUACUCCGACUGAAAAAGCGUAAGGGGUUUGACGAUAUCUCUUCCGCUAAAUAACUUGGGGACCUGAAACUUUCAAAAAUCGUUUAAGAAUUGCGUUUUGUAAAAGCGCUUCUAGUAAUGUAAAAUUUAAUAAUACAAGACUUCGUUUUAUAAGGGAUUCCAAUGAUGUGAUUAAAAACUAAACAAAUUAGUUGAUCAUUGAAGUUUUAAAAUGUACUAAUCUUCUCACUUCUCACUCAAUAUUAGGAAAAGCACUUCUUACAAGAAUUUACGCCUUCUGUGGACCCUCAAGGAAAACUAGAAAUAUAUUUAUUUUAGAACAAAAUCCAAUAGAAUAUUACUUCGCUGGUAUGUUCAUAUGUUACCUAUAAAUAGGGUAAAAAUUCUAAUAUUAAUAUGUAGAGUACAUAAUAAUCGUUACAUGCAAUCAGUGAUUGCAAUUCAUUUCCUGAUGAAGUCACAGUGUCGCGAAACGGUCAUAGUGGAAAAUAAACAUAAUUAUUGUCUAUUAAGCAGAGAACUGAGGAGACUGCUGCCCAAAAUUAGUAUACAACCAGCCUGUAACGAAUCGAGAAUUGGGACAACAGAACCACGACAAAACUAUUUAUAUUUAAAGAGGACGGAGAAUUAAUAUUUUAUCCAAACAACAACACCCCAAACAAACAAAAACGUGACAACGUUUAAGAGGGAAACCCUUCGAUCGCGACUUUAGCAGCAAUUUGUGUGUUCAUGUGUAUUGUAUUGGUGUAAUUGAUAGAUAUUCUUUCUCUUCCGAAGAGAGAAGAGAAAGAACGAAUGGACCAAAGGAAAAAAUCCAUGAACGACGGUCCAAGAACAGCUGAAAAAGAAAAUAGGCGUCGGCUAGACCUUGGCAGGGUUCACCGAAACCUUAAUUCAUCCAGCGUCGGAUGUCCAGGGUCCUCAUCCUCUCCACGGUGUUUGGGGGUGGGGGGAGUGGAUUGAAGAGGGGAACCGUCGACCAUACCAUACCAUUCCAUCACAGACAUUCACUUUUCACUACCGACCGCGAACGCCACCAACUUUACGCGAAAUCAUUGAAAUGCACUUUAACGAUCGAACUAUUAACACUAAGCACACUGUAGUAAAAGACCUGGAAAAUAAAAAAAAAACCAUGACUAAAGAUUUUUGUAAUAGAUUAAAGUGUAUUAUACCCAGAGGUCAUUUCUCCUCCCGAAUAAGGGCAAUGUGUGGACACCAUCGCUAUCACACUGUAAAAAGGCUGACUUGUUGCUGGGAACCCCCUGAAGGAACGAAAAACUUAUUAAUAUGAGAAGGUCAAUUAAUAAACUGUUAAUUUGCUUAUUUCAAACCUUAAUUGGGUUGAUUAAAAAUAAAUAUGGAUAAUUUUGUAACUUGCUUAUGAUUAUAAAACACAAGAAAUUGUCUAAAAAUCAGUAAAACAAUAACUGAAGGUCGGUGUUACACAGGGCAUUUAGAAAAUAUUUUCACAAUUGAAUAAUUGCAAUUUGGAUGUAUUUGCAUUGAAAUCGUUAUUAAGAGGUGUAGGUAUCAAAAUUUUUAAUUUUCAUUUUAGUAUCAAUAAAUGUAUUUAAAAAAUCCUUACGUUAAUAUCAGAUUGCAACAACUAACGAAUUUAGUUCGUUAUCAAUAAGAUAUUUACGAUUUUUAUCAUUUUUAAUAUUUAUCACAUCAUAGGUUACAUUGUUGAAAAUUUAUCUUAAAAAAUAACGAAAAUCAUUUCGGGCCGAAAUAAGAAAAUACAUACCUCGGUUAGAGAGUCAUUAAAAGAACGGGUUUUGAUAAACAUUUUUUAGACUUUAACACUUUUAAUGUAAGAAAUUUUCAAA